CCUCAAUACAAUAUCCAAUGUAAUCACAAUAAUUGACCUUGAAUUAAAUGAUGGCUAUUAAGACACUAUCAAAGAACAAUCUAAUACUCACUCUGAUACUAAUGAAAUAGUCUAUCUUGAGUGUCUAAGACUCUUCUAAUUCACAACAACAUAAAACCUCAUCACAAAGUAAGGCAAGUUGGAUUAGAACAAAAUUGAGUAAAAUUAAAGAGAAUAGGACAUGAAAGAAAAAAUUGUGCAAAUGAAAAGAGAACAAAA
rnacentral:lncRNA from 1 species